GGGCAAGGACCUGCUGCUGGCCCUGCUGCCACCCUGGGAACUGCCUGCUCCUGCAGGGCCACCCCAUCCACCUCCUGGAGAGCGCGAGCUCCUGCGCAAAACACAGCAACGUGGAGUUGUACAAGGUUGCCAUAAAAUGUGCGAUGAAGGAUAAGCACCAUACAACCCUGCGUGUGCUCUGGUGCACAGGUGUCUACCAGUGAAAUGUGGUGGCAGUGGCAGGACAGCCGUUGGCAGAUUGCUUCUAGGUCACGUAAGCAGUCUCUCCACUGUCUUAAUGUCCUUCUGCUCUGAUGCCAACAGAUGAGUUUGUCAGCUUCAGCCACUUUCACUGCUCAGAGGAAAUAUUUGCAUGCUGACAUUUGCAAUUAUAUAGAAGUACCCAGUGUGGGGAGAAUAAACUACAGGGCAGGACUGCACUUUGUAGCUCUUCCAUCUCUGCAUCCUGCUGGAGGUGAGCCUGGCAUCUGCAAGCUGCCGCUCGAAGGAAGCGCACAAGGUGACCACAGGCCCUGCCAACACAAGCAAGAGACCUGACGUUGCCUUCAGAACGGCGACAGAAAAAUGGAAAAAGCAUUAUUCAAGGAAGUGGAAAAAAAUCAUCUCUGACUU
rnacentral:lncRNA from 1 species